AUGAACGCUGGCGGCGUGCCUAAUACAUGCAAGUCGAGCGAACAGACGAGGAGCUUGCUCCUCUGACGUUAGCGGCGGACGGGUGAGUAACACGUGGAUAACCUACCUAUAAGACUGGGAUAACUUCGGGAAACCGGAGCUAAUACCGGAUAAUAUAUUGAACCGCAUGGUUCAAUAGUGAAAGACGGUUUUGCUGUCACUUAUAGAUGGAUCCGCGCCACAUUAGCUAGUUGGUAAGGUAACGGCUUACCAAGGCAACGAUGCGUAGCCGACCUGAGAGGGUGAUCGGCCACACUGGAACUGAGACACGGUCCAGACUCCUACGGGAGGCAGCAGUAGGGAAUCUUCCGCAAUGGGCGAAAGCUUGACGGAGCAACGCCGCGUGAGUGAUGAAGGUCUUCGGAUCGUAAAACUCUGUUAUUAGGGAAGAACAAAUGUGUAAGUAACUAUGCACGUCUUGACGGUACCUAAUCAGAAAGCCACGGCUAACUACGUG
rnacentral:rRNA from 1 species